rnacentral:rRNA from 1 species
GAGUUUGAUCAUGGCUCAGAAUGAACGUUGGCGGCGUGGAUUAGGCAUGCAAGUCGAGCGAGAACCCCGCAAGGGGGACGAGCGGCAAACGGGGUAGUAAUGUGUCGGAACGUGCCCUGAGGUCGGGGAUAGCGGCGGGAAACUGCCGGUAAUACCCGAUGAUCUCGAGAGAGCAAAGGUGUGAUUCCGCCUUUGGAGCGGCCGACAUGGUAUUAGCUAGUUGGCGGGGUAACGGCCCACCAAGGCUGUGAUGCCUAGGGGAUGUGAGAGCAUGAUCCCCACCAUUGGGACUGAGACACUGCCCAGACACCUACGGGUGGCUGCAGUCGAGAAUCUUCGUCAAUGGGCGAAAGCCUGAACGAGCGACGCCGCGUGCGGGAUGAAGGCCUUUGGGUUGUAAACCGCUGUCGAGGGGAUGAAGGCUUGAAGUCAUCUUUCAAGUUUGACAGAGCCCUGGAGGAAGCACGGGCUAAGUUCGUGCCAGCCGCCGCCGUAAC